rnacentral:rRNA from 1 species
ACGCACCUUUCGGGGUGAGUGGCGGACGGGUGAGUAACGCGUGAGAAUCUGCCUAGAGGUCGGGGACAACCAUUGGAAACGAUGGCUAAUACCGGAUAUGCCUUACGGGGUGAAAGAUUAAUCGCCUUUAGAAGAGCUCGCGUCUGAUUAGCUAGUUGGUAGGGUAAAAGCCUACCAAGGCAUCGAUCAGUAGCUGGUCUGAGAGGAUGACCAGCCACACUGGGACUGAGACACGGCCCAGACUCCUACGGGAGGCAGCAGUGGGGAAUUUUCCGCAAUGGGCGAAAGCCUGACGGAGCAAGACCGCGUGAGGGAGGAAGGCUCUUGGGUCGUAAACCUCUUUUGUCAGGGAAGAACAAAAUGACGGUACCUGACGAAUCAGCAUCGGCUAACUCCGUGCCAGCAGCCGCGGUAAUAUGGAGGAUGCAAGCGUUAUCCGGAAUUAUUGGGCGUAAAGCGUCCGCAGGUGGCUGAUCAAGUCUGCGGUCAAAGACCGGGGCUUAACCCUGGAAAGGCCGUGGAAACUGAUCAAGCUAGAGUACCGUAGGGGUAGAGGGAAUUCCCGGUGUAGCGGUGAAAUGCGUAGAGAUCGGGAAGAACAUCGGUGGCGAAAGCGCUCUACUGGACGGUGACUGACACUCAGGGACGAAAGCUAGGGGAGCGAAUGGGAUUAGAUACCC